rnacentral:rRNA from 1 species
CCACCCCGGCCGUGAGUCGGGAGCACUCUGGACAGACUGCCUCGCUUAAACGAGGAGGAAGGUGGGGAUGACGUCAAGUCAGUAUGGCCCUUACGGCCAGGGCUACACACGUGCUACAAUGGGUGGUACAAAGAGCAGCAAACUCGCGAGAGUAAGCGAAUCUACAAAAAGCCAUCCUCAGUUCGGAUUGGAGUCUGCAACUCGACUCCAUGAAGUUGGAAUCGCUAGUAAUCGCGGAUCAGCAUGCCGCGGUCGAAUACGUUCCCGGGCCUU